GGGAAGAAAGAGAGAGUCCUGACUGUGUGAGUUCUUUACCCGUUGAAUCGAGGAACGCAGCGGAAGUUGAGAACUAAUCCACUGGACUCAAUGGAGAACGGGAAGGAUUGCGCCAUGGAAGAGAUUUUACUGGCGAAGCAGAAGGAAAACAAUCUCUCUUCAACAACCAGGGGUGUUUACUUGGAAGAGAUGAAGAGAGUAGGAUUCUUGGCAGCGCCGUUGGUCGCCGUCACUUUCUCGCAGUAUAUGUUGCAGAUCAUCACGAUGAUGAUGGUCGGUCAUCUCGGUGCUCUCGCACUCUCCAGCACCGCCAUAGCAGUUUCCAUUUCUGCAGUUAC
rnacentral:misc_RNA from 1 species